rnacentral:rRNA from 1 species
GUGGGGAAUCUUGCGCAAUGGGCGAAAGCCUGACGCAGCCAUGCCGCGUGAAUGAUGAAGGUCUUAGGAUUGUAAAAUUCUUUCACCGGGGACGAUAAUGACGGUACCCGGAGAAGAAGCUCCGGCUAACUUCGUGCCGGCAGCCGCGGUAAUACGAAGGGGGCUAGCGUUGCUCGGAAUUACUGGGCGUAAAGGGCGCGUAGGCGGACAGCUUAGUCAGAGGUGAAAGCCCAGGGCUCAACCUUGGAAUUGCCUUUGAUACUGGCUGUCUUGAGUUUGGGAGAGGUGAGUGGAACUCCGAGUGUAGAGGUGAAAUUCGUAGAUAUUCGGAAGAACACCAGUGGCGAAGGCGACUCACUGGCCCAAUACUGACGCUGAGGCGCGAAAGCGUGGGGAGCAAACAGGAUUAGAAACCCGUGUAGUCC